rnacentral:tRNA from 1 species
GGAGAGAUGCGAGAGCGGUUGAAUCGGACGGUUUCGAAAACCGUUGAACUCGCAAGGGUUCCGAGGGUUCGAAUCCCUCUCUCUCCG